rnacentral:lncRNA from 1 species
AAUUUGCUAAAUGAUACAUUCUCAUCUCAAAAUAUUAAAUGUCGUAUCUGAACGAAUCAUGAUCAAUUCUUUUGACCGCCAACAUAUUGUGGACCAUUCUCAUUACUAACUUACUGUCCAUCCCAAUGAAUACUUAGUGACAUCCGACGAUUAGCAUUUUAUUUACACAAAAAAAAUUCGAAUAAAUAUAAAAUAUUUAAUCAAUAUAAUAUAAAAAAUGAUA